rnacentral:rRNA from 1 species
UCGCCUGUUUAUCAAAAACAUAGCUACAUGAAUUUAAUAUGUAGUGGUUUCUGCUCAAUGAUUAGUUAAAUAGCCGCAGUACCCUGACUGUGCAAAGGUAGCAUAAUCAGUUGGCUCAUAAUUGGAGUCUGGAAUGAAGGAAAGAUUAAGUAGUGACUGUUUCUUAAUAAUAUCUAUAAAUUAAUUAUAAAGUGCAAAUGCUUUAAAAUAAACAUUAGACGAGAAGACCCUAGAAAUUUUUUGUAAACUAGAAACAUUUUGUUGGGGCGACAGGGUAACAGUUAGUUAACUUACUUGUUAUAUGUGAAGUCUUUAGACGGAUAAGGUAAAUUACUCUAGGGAUAACAGCAUAAUUUUUGAAAGUUUGUGACCUCGAUGUUGGAUUAGGAAAAUAUAAAGUCCAGAAGAUAUAUAU